GACGAACGCUGGCGGCGUGCUUAACACAUGCAAGUCGAGCGGUAAGGCCCUUUCGGGGGUACACGAGCGGCGAACGGGUGAGUAACACGUGGGUGACCUGCCCUCAGCUCUGGGAUAAGCCUGGGAAACCGGGUCUAAUACCGGAUAUGACUCCAUGACGCAUGUUGUGGGGUGGAAAGCCUUGUGCGGCUGAGGAUGGGCCCGCGGCCUAUCAGCUUGUUGGUGGGGUGANGGCCUACCAAGGCGACGACGGGUGGCCGGCCUGAGAGGGCGACCGGCCACACUGGGACUGAGACACGGCCCAGACUCCUACGGGAGGCAGCAGUGGGGAAUCUUGCGCAAUGGGCGAAAGCCUGACGCAGCGACGCCGCGUGAGGGAUGAC
rnacentral:rRNA from 1 species